CCUACGGGGGGCUGCAGUGGGGAAUAUUGGACAAUGGGGGGAACCCUGAUCCAGCCAUGCCGCGUGUGUGAAGAAGGCCCUCGGGUUGUAAAGCACUUUCAGUGAGGAAGAACGCCUGGUGGUUAAUACCCAUCAGGAAAGACAUCACUCACAGAAGAAGCACCGGCUAACUCCGUGCCAGCAGCCGCGGUAAUACGGAGGGUGCGAGCGUUAAUCGGAAUUACUGGGCGUAAAGCGCGCGUAGGUGGCUUGAUAAGCCGGUUGUGAAAGCCCCGGGCUCAACCUGGGAACGGCAUCCGGAACUGUCAAGCUAGAGUGCAGGAGAGGAAGGUAGAAUUCCCGGUGUAGCGGUGAAAUGCGUAGAGAUCGGGGGGAAUACCAGUGGCGAAGGCGGCCUUCUGGACUGACACUGACACUGAGGUGCGAAAGCGUGGGUAGCAAACAGGAUUAGAUACCCUGGUAGUC
rnacentral:rRNA from 1 species